GCUUUCCAGUCCUUAACUGACGCUAAAGCUCGAAAGUGCGGGUAUCGAACAGGAUUAGAUACCCUGGUAGUCCGCACGGUAAACGAUGGAUGCCCGCUGUUGGCGAUACAAUGUCAGCGGCCAAGCGAAAGCGUUAAGCAUCCCACCUGGGGAGUACGCCGGCAACGGUGAAACUCAAAGGAAUUGACGGGGGCCCGCACAAGCGGAGGAACAUGUGGUUUAAUUCGAUGAUACGCGAGGAACCUUACCCGGGCUUGAACUGCAGCUGAACGAUCCAGAGAUGGUGAGGCCCUUCGGGGCAGCUGUGGAGGUGCUGCAUGGUUGUCGUCAGCUCGUGCCGUGAGGUGUCGGCUUAAGUGCCAUAACGAGCGCAACCCUUUUCAUUAGUUGCCAUCAGGUAGAGCUGGGCACUCUGGUGAUACUGCCACCGUAAGGUGUGAGGAAGGUGGGGAUGACGUCAAAUCAGCACGGCCCUUACGUCCGGGGCUACACACGUGUUACAAUGGGUGGUACAGAGAGUUGGUCGUUUGCAAAUGCGAUCUAAUCCUUAAAGCCAUCCUCAGUUCGGAUUGGGGUCUGCAACCCGACCCCAUGAAGCUGG
rnacentral:rRNA from 1 species